rnacentral:lncRNA from 1 species
GCAGUAUCUCCUGUUUCCGAGCUGAGACCAGCAGCCUCUGCCUGACUUAUUGGAGGAGCAAGAGGAUCCCAGUUUCCCCGCUAACACGCAGCUGUCACAUCUAGUUGCAGACAGCCACUUCUUCCCAGCUGUUUUCCUGCUCGGGCAAGAAGGCACCCUAUUCCAAAAGCGAGUCGGCUGGAGGAGGAGUCUACGUGGUGCUUGCUGCAGGUCAAUUUUGUUUGGAAAUGAAUGUUAAGAAAAGCAUUGACUGGUAAGCGACCACAUCUCUGUGUUUGCUCAUUUUGUUCAGUGUAUAUUCUACAUUUUUUCUAGCUUUGCAGUUCUCAAGUGAAGUCACUAAGAAAUAGUACAUACCUAUAGGUUUGCUAAGGAAUAUUUAAAAAAAUCAAACCAUGUAUUCUCAAAAAUGGUAACAAAACAUAUUUAAGUAAUUUCAUCACAACAUGUUUUUAUUUUUUUUUCUGACAGUUAAUUUGAAAAUCAUAGAGGAUUUGGAGGAUUUAAUAUAAUAAGAGAAGCAUGCAUUUUUGUUAUUCAUGAGUUAUAAGGGUUGAAAUAGCUGUUAUUACGAAGUAGGAGGUUUUACAGUAAUGAAGAGCAUUCCAGAUGUGUUUCCUAUAGAAUACAUUAGAUCUUUUGUGAAAGGUUUCAUGGACUUAAAUAAAGGGGCUACAAAUCUCUGAAACACAAGGAUCUACUUUUUACCUUGUGAAUUGCAUCAGAUGGUUUGUUCAAGAGACAAAUUUUAUGGUGUUUGAACCUGUUCUUUUUGUAGGAAAACAGUUUUAUAUACAAGGUAUCCGUGCGUGAAGUAACAGUGCAAGGGCGGUUUUGUAGGUCGUAACGUGGGGAUUCAGAAAAGACUACGCAUGUGUUUCCAUUUGUUUUCUUCAUUUAAGUAGUGUAAAAUUAUGUUUUUAAAUAUAUCUCAUGCUAGUCAAACAGGAGCUGCUUCUAGGGUUAACUGAUGAAAGUCAAUUGCAUACCAUUAACUCUGAUUGUUAAUAUGCUAUGGUGAUAAUAUUUUUUCCCAUAUCAUUCCCUUACACAUUCAGUUUGUGAGAGGACCUCAUCUGGUAGCACCCCAGAUCAAUAAGAGAAUGUAAAGGAAUUCCAAGCUAAAUAGUAAGAUUCAGUAUAGAACAGACUGAAAGAAUUGGCUAGUGAGCUUUGUAAAUAAUUUGUGGAAACCUUGAAAGAUUGGAAUUGAGGAAAGUGGUAUAUGAUGUAAUGAAACAAAUAACUAGAAAAAUACAAGAGUAGCAAAACUUCAGUUUGUAAAAUGGGAAUUAAAAACAUCUGGUUUAAUAUGCAUUCAUCUAUUUUAUGAUUGAUUUCCUUAAAAUAUGCAAGGCAGGUUUAAAUUCAUCACUAAACAUAUUCAGCAUAUUUGUUUCUUUUUCCUUAAUUGGACACUUCCAAUGGCACUCAUAUUUAUGAGAACUGCAAUGUAGGAUAUUGUAAAAGGACAUAAAGGAAACCUUAACAAUUACUUUUAAUGCAACUACUAAUGAAUAUAUCUAUAAAAUACCCCACAUUUAAGGCUCAGAAAUCAUUGCAGAAGAGGUGCAUAAAAGGUUGUAAAAGCUAGAGGACCAGGAAGUUUUCUGUGAGAUUAUUUUUCUUAGUAUAUUUGAAGUUAACUCCGUAAGAUCUUACCAAUAUGACUGUCCAAUCAUGAAUUGAACAUGGACAUGCCAAACUAGGCCUGGAAAAGCUUAAAAGACCUCAACUCUACACAAAGAAAUAUGUGUCAGCUGUCAGUUAAGGAAAACUUGUUGCGGGAGAGGUGGUCUAUCCUAGGGCAAGCAUAUCAACCAGGUUCUCCAGUGUCAAAAGGUCAGCCCUAAAAUCAUAUAUACAAAUAACAUUUUAUGGACUGAAGAGAUUGUAUUAGAUACAUGCACACACAGAGAAACACACACAAUUAUACUUAGUGAAAUAAGAAAACGGUGAUUUUUGGACAAGAGUGAGGAAUUGGAAGUGGGAAGUUUUGUUAUAGACCUUGAAACUGACUUGAAGCCUUGAAAUUGAGUGCUGAAUCCUCUAUUCACAACAAGUGUUAUUGCUGCUAUUCCUGUGUUUAACUUAAGAUAAUAUAAGAUAAUGAAAUAUACAAAUGUCAACCUCCUGUAAAGAAAAAAUACUGACUUAGCUGUGAUAUUACAUCAGGCACAUAAAAAUAGAUCCACACACAUAACUCCAGUACUCCAUGUAAGUGUAUGAAAAAGCACAGGCACUUUCUUGUACAUAUGGCUAUUUUUUAAAACAAAUGAAAUGUGAUAUUUAGUACAUAGAAAAUAAUGUCUUGAUAUCAUUACUAGGAACUCAUGAUAGGUAUAAGCACCUUUUUAUUUGGGUCCAAAUAUAAAGUGAAAGUUACAGUAAAUUGAAAUGGAGCAAUUUUAAAAUGAGUCACAGUGAGUGAAAAAUUGGGAUUCUCUCAUUAAAACACUCUAAUUCCUUUAAGUGUUCUUGCAUAGCUCUAAGUGUACCUAUUGACUUUCCAACAUAAUAAAAUAACAAUUGGCCAUACCCCAAACAAUAUCAGGAAGAUAGAUUUCACAAGAUUUUAGUCUCAUCAAGUAAUUAGUUAAACAGAAUUCAUUAAAUCCUACUAAACAUGACUUUAUAAAAAGCAUUUUGUUAAUAAAAUCUUGUAUCAUUUUCUAUUAACUUUUACCAUUUAACUUUUUCUCAAAGGCAGCUCGUUGUUAAUAUGCAGCCUAUCAUCUCAGUUGUCUUUUAAUUCUCCUAAUGUACCAGUUUCACUUGGGUUUUAUGCUCCGAUAUUUAUUCUCUCUCUUUCCCCAUAAUGUUGGUAGUAUUAGAUACAUUUUCAUAACCCUAAAGUUUUUCUAUCUAAUCCUACUUGGGAGAAAUUGCAUCCUACACAAUCUCACGUUGUAGUGGUAUUAUCUACAUAAAACUUCUCAUGUUCUAUCUUUUCACAGUUGCAAUUGGAUACUAAAUACCUCCCCACACACAUAUGCACUAAUCUGCCACAAAACACAGCCCAAAGUAAAGUCCCAAUUAAUUUAAUCAGUGAUAUGAAAUCUAAUUAAAAGUACGUCUAGCCACCCAUAACUGUAAGAGAUGCAACUUGCUUCACUGUGUAUUCCCAGAGUCUAAGGUAAAAGAUAUUUACAUAAUCUCAAAUUAUCUUCCCACAAGAUGCAGAUCACUUCAAAGGAGACUACAAUAGCUUUAGACCAGAAAACUCAAAAGAUUAUGGUAUCUCUGC